UCUCUCGACUUGCUUCCCUCUCUCUUUGUUUCCCCACUGUUUCUAUUUCAUCCCCAUCCCCCCUCCAGAUACACCCCAAGGAUUGAUCCAUGGGCCAAUCAAGUGGCGCCCAGCGUGGGGGCUCCUGGCAUGGGGGAGUUAACGAGGGAGCCGUUCGAGAAUGCAGGCUAAAAGUGGAAGCAAAUUGAAUCAAGGACCGUGGCUAGAAGUGAAAGCAAACCAAAUCAAGGACCAAGGCUAGAAGUGAAAGCACAUUAAAUCAAGGACCGAGGCCUGCAUGGACGACUGCCCAGAGUGCCGCCCGAGUCAAGAUGACACAACUCCUCUGAGCCUUAUGCUGCCUACUCAGCCUUCUCCUCAGACCGUACCACACCCAUGGUGGAUUUAGACCCCCGCCAAACAGACUACAACUGCUGACAGCCAUGCACACAACCCCCGUGACUGUGGAGGAGGCUCUUUUCAGUCUGGAGGACCACAAACCAGCCAAAUAGACUGCAGAAAAAAGUUGCUUCUAUGUCAAUCAGUCCGGUGUUAUGCGAGGCAAGCUCCAAGAAACAGAAGAACAGCUUCAACAGUGACUACAACAAAUGGAUGCAAACCCCUUCUCCUCAAAGUGGGGGGGGGGACUUUUCCCUUACCUAGCGCCCCUUUUGGGUCCCCUAGCUGCCCUGUUGCUUCUCCUAUCUGUGGGUCCUUGUAUUUUUCAGAGGAUUAUGAUGCUCAUUAAUAACUGGAUAGACGUGUUUAUGGCAAAGCCCAUUCAGGUACACUAUCACCAGAUGGAGAUGGCAGAUCAACAAACCUACCAGGAAGGAAUUCCCACGAGUGGCCCAUAUGAUGAUAUGAACUAACUGCCCUGUGGCAAGGGACAGGCAGCCAGAGACGGGCAACUAGGACAAACAUGUUACUCCAUCGGCUGCCUAAGACAGGCACAGGACCAAUUGCUGUCCUGCAAGCCCAUGACGGGUAAGGACUGGUUGGGUUCAUGUAAUGAGGUUCCUUGACCUAACACAGGCACUGUCCUCACAGGGCCUGCCAUACUCCUGAUUAAAUAAUACAGAAAGGGAGGAGAUAUACGGAGUGGCAUGACUGCUCCAUUGCUGCCUCCUCAUCUCUCUCUCCUAUGGGCAUAUGAUGUACCUGCCUAUGUUAACCAUAAUCCUCUCCUGCUUAUGUCACAUACCCGGACGUGAUGAUGACCCUGUUGUAUUCAUCCCCGUAGCUCUUCCUGUCCCACCAGCCCGCCCUUUCCCUAUAAAAGAUGUAAUCACUUCCUGAAUAAACCAGGCUUGAUCGGA